rnacentral:rRNA from 1 species
AUGCAGCAGUGGGGAAUAUUGGGCAAUGGAGGAAACUCUGACCCAGCGACGCCGCGUGAGGGAUGAAGGCCUUCGGGUUGUAAACCUCUUUCAGUAGGGAAGAAGCGAAAGUGACGGUACCUACAGAAGAAGCACCGGCUAACUAUGUGCCAGCAGCCGCGGUAAUACAUAGGGUGCAAGCGUUGUCCGGAAUUAUUGGGCGUAAAGAGCUCGUAGGUGGUUCGAUACGUCGGAUGUGAAAAUCAGGGGCUCAACCCCUGACCUGCAUCCGAUACGGUCGAGCUAGAGUUUGGUAGGGGAGACUGGAAUUCCUGGUGUAGCGGUGGAAUGCGCAGAUAUCAGGAGGAACACCGAUGGCGAAGGCAGGUCUCUGGGCCAAUACUGACACUGAGGAGCGAAAGCGUGGGGAGCGAACAGGAUUAGAUACCCUUGUAGUCCGGUCAUA